rnacentral:rRNA from 1 species
AGCAGCCGCGGUAAUUCCAGCUCCAAUAGCGUAUAUUAAAGUUGUUGCAGUUAAAAAGCUCGUAGUUGAACUUCGGGGUUUACUCAUUGGUCAGGCUUAAUUGUCUGUACUGGUGAGAUGAAUCUCUACCUUCUGAGGAACUUUCAUGCCAUUUAUUUGGUGUGGUUGGAAAUCAGGACUGUUACUUUGAAAAAAUUAGAGUGUUUAAAGCAGGCUAACGUCUGAAUACAUUAGCAUGGAAUAAUGAAAUAGGACGGAUUGAUUCUAUUUCGUUGGUUUCUAGGGUCACCGUAAUGAUUAAUAGGGAUAGUUGGGGGGCAUUAGUAUUCAAUUGUCAGAGGUGAAAUUCUUGGAUUUAUUGAAGACUAACUACUGCGAAAGCAUUUGCCAAGGAUGUUUUCAUUAAUCAAGAACGAAAGUUAGGGGAUCGAAGACGAUCAGAUACCGUCGUAGUCUUAACCAUAAACUAUGCCGACUAGGGAUCGGACGAAGUUAAUUAAUAAUGACGCGUUCGGCACCU